rnacentral:rRNA from 2 species
UGCAGUCGAGCGGACAGAAGGGAGCUUGCUCCCGGAUGUUAGCGGCGGACGGGUGAGUAACACGUGGGUAACCUGCCUGUAAGACUGGGAUAACUCCGGGAAACCGGAGCUAAUACCGGAUAGUUCCUUGAACCGCAUGGUUCAAGGAUGAAAGACGGUUUCGGCUGUCACUUACAGAUGGACCCGCGGCGCAUUAGCUAGUUGGUGGGGUAAUGGCUCACCAAGGCGACGAUGCGUAGCCGACCUGAGAGGGUGAUCGGCCACACUGGGACUGAGACACGGCCCAGACUCCUACGGGAGGCAGCAGUAGGGAAUCUUCCGCAAUGGACGAAAGUCUGACGGAGCAACGCCGCGUGAGUGAUGAAGGUUUUCGGAUCGUAAAGCUCUGUUGUUAGGGAAGAACAAGUGCGAGAGUAACUGCUCGCACCUUGACGGUACCUAACCAGAAAGCCACGGCUAACUACGUGCCAGCAGCCGCGGUAAUACGUAGGUGGCAAGCGUUGUCCGGAAUUAUUGGGCGUAAAGGGCUCGCAGGCGGUUUCUUAAGUCUGAUGUGAAAGCCCCCGGCUCAACCGGGGAGGGUCAUUGGAAACUGGGAAACUUGAGUGCAGAAGAGGAGAGUGGAAUUCCACGUGUAGCGGUGAAAUGCGUAGAGAUGUGGAGGAACACCAGUGGCGAAGGCGACUCUCUGGUCUGUAACUGACGCUGAGGAGCGAAAGCGUGGGGAGCG